CUACGGGAGGCAGCAGUCGAGAAUUUUUCACAAUGGGCGCAAGCCUGAUGGAGCGACGCCGCGUGGGGGAUGAAUGGCUUCGGCCCGUAAACCCCUGUCAUUUGCGAUCAAACGUUGUUAUUUAAAAGAUGACAACCUGAUAGUAGCGAAAGAGGAAGGGACGGCUAACUCUGUGCCAGCAGCCGCGGUAAUACAGAGGUCCCAAGCGUUGUUCGGAUUCACUGGGCGUAAAGGGUGCGUAGGUGGUGAGGUAAGUCGGAUGUGAAAUCUCGGAGCUCAACUCCGAAACGGCAUUGGAAACUACCUUGCUCGAGGGUUGGAGGGGGGACUGGAAUGCUUGGUGUAGCAGUGAAAUGCGUAGAUAUCAAGCGGAACACCAGUGGCGAAGGCGAGUCCCUGGACAACUCCUGACACUGAGGCACGAAAGCUAGGGGAGCAAACAGGAUUAGAAACCCGAGUAGUCCC
rnacentral:rRNA from 1 species